GACAGAGGGUGCAAACGUUGUUCGGAAUUACUGGGCGUAAAGCGCGCGUAGGCGGCAAUGCAUGUCGGGCGUGAAAUCCCACGGCUCAACCGUGGAAGUGCACUCGAAACUGCAUAGCUAGAGUCUCGGAGAGGAAGGCGGAAUGCUUGGUGUAGAGGUGAAAUUCGUAGAUAUCAAGCGGAACACCGGUGGCGAAGGCGGCCUUCUGGACGAUGACUGACGCUGAAGCGCGAAAGCGUGGGGAGCAAACAGG
rnacentral:rRNA from 1 species